GGCCGGUUAGCUCAGUCAGUUGAGUGUAGCGCCAACAACGCUAAAGUCGCGGGUUCGAUUCCCGUUCAGUCCC
rfam:Apaloderma vittatum contig65333, whole genome shotgun sequence.